GGCAGUCACGCUUUCUCUGAGACCCUGAGAUCCUGGUGUGACCAAGCUUCUGGGAUGCUGGGAUCCUGGAAUCCUAAGAUCCUGGGCAUGUUAAAGCGCCUGGAAAUGGUACCUCCUCUGGAGACCAAGGGGCUGUCUGCUGUGUUCAAAAUCAAGCUGCAUAUCUAACAGAUGAGUGUUGAUCUCUGUUACACUAAAGUGUAUGUAUGCACAUGAAUGCAGGCACUCAUGGGGACCAAAAGAGGAAUACUUCGUGCCAGCAGAAGAAUCCAGCCUCUGCGACAACCAUAGAAAUGUGCUGUUCUUUAAUCGCUGGCUGACUCAGUUGUGGUGAACACCAGAGGAACAAGCUUUUUGGCUGUCUGAAUUUCAAAGAUCUCACUUUGAUACUACCAAAUGUUGGAUCUGAGAUUGCAGAGAGGAACUCUUUCUGGCUGAUGAGAAUCCUGUUAGGAUGAGGACCUUCUCUGGACACAGUUCCAGAAAAUGAAUAGUUUCCUGAUGAGGGUCACUCAAGUUCUGAUGUGUGAGGAAUGUUCUUUAAAAUACUAUUAAAGAUAAUCUGUUAGUAUGUUAAGA
rnacentral:lncRNA from 1 species